AGACCUUAACACAUGCCUCAAGAUCACUAAGCAAGAUUUACUAUUGGUACACAACAGAAGAAGAAGCAGAUGUUAAUACCAAUGGAACUUUGCCUUGCUGAUUAUUUACAAAAUCUCAUGGCUCAAUUCUUUGGUGUUUCUGAGCAACAGAGAGAGACAGAGCAUGAGAAGGGAAGGG